UUCUAGAUCCAAAUCCUGUCUUCACUGGCUUCAGGAUGGAAAAGGUCAUUAUGGAUGGGGACGAAGGAGGCUCACUUGUGGAUCAAAUCUAAGAGGUAUGUGGAACAGGGAGAGAGAGAGAGAGAAGCCAGGGACCAUCUCCAUGGAGGAAUGAUCUUUGAGCUAAUUCUAGAUUGAUGGUCAGAUUUGAAUUAGUUCUAUGGGAAUAUGUGACAGGAGGUAAGGAUGAGGCAGAGGCAGUGGUGUGUGUAAAGGUCCUGGAGAUAAGUCUGAUAAGAAGGCUCAACCAAGCCUCUGGAAAAUUAGGAUACAAACCCAUGUCUCUUGAAAAGAGUGGUCUUCCCCCUGUCCCUCAAAGUUGAGUUCUCUAGAUAAUUUCUUCAAUUUUGUGGCUAGUACCUACCUAGGCUAGGCAUAUGUUAGUAAUCAAAUGUAGAUUCUUUAUCUUAUAUUUAGGUAGGUAGGUAACAAUCUGUGUGAAUUCCAUCCCUUCCCUCCUUUCCUUGUAGGCUUUUAUCAAGGUGUGUGUGUGUGUGCGCACGCACGGAUCUUUACAUUUAUUUGUCUAUCUUGCCCAGAUAUAAAUGAAGAUCACAAGAUUUGUUUUUCAUAAAAGCUUUGAGAUUCUGAAGGGUUACUCCCAAUGGUGAAUGUGCAGCUAGUAUAAAGGCAACAUGGCCAGCCAGAAGGAGGUCAGAGUUUGGAGUUAAAUGCCUGGGGACAAGGUUCAACUUUGCGAUUGCUGACUUGUGACUUUGGGCAAGUCACUUAACCUCUCUGAGCCUCAGUGUCCUCCCUUCCAACUCUGGGGUGACAAUUAAAUUAUUUGCCUCAUUUGCCUCAUAGAAGUAUGCAUGUGAGGGGAUCUGUCUGAAAGAGAUUCAAAAAUUAUAAGGCACUUGGUCAAUAUCAGGCAUUAUUGUUAUCGAAUAAGUGUACCCUUAAAAAAUGUUACUGGUUACUGGAAGUAGGUGCUGUAAGUGUGGAUGAGACCCUCCCAGGCUCAAUGUCACUUGAAAGUUUACAAUAACGUAUUUCAAAUAUGGUGGCAAUGUAACAGCCAGACAUUCAAACAUUUCUGAAAGCAAUGGAAAUUUACAUUAUGUUGCAGGUUUAUCAUUGACGUGGCAAGCAAUUCAAUGUAGAAAUAUUGCGAACGAGAAAGUCAGUCCCCAAAUAAAGACUGGUAAAACCUUGUGAUUUAUAGCAAGAAAGAUAUCAAAGUGAAUUUUCCUGGGAUAUUCCUGGGUAGCUCAUUUUGUAGUAUGUUUGGAAAUGAUCUAACAUUAAAAUCACUUUUCGGGAGAUAGUAAUAAACUUUCUCAAAAAGUCUUAUAUAACCAGGAAGUAGCUCGCGUAACUGGGAGGAAAUGCAAACACAUUUUAUAUGUAACAGAAGAUUCUCUCUCAGACAUCAGUUUUACAACCUGACAAAUCUAAAAAUGCACAUCCAGGUCAGUACGAAAAACAUUAGUGAGAUCUUUUUGCUAUAAAAAAAAUGACUUUCGGGGCGCCUGGGUGGCGCAGUCGGUUAAGCAUCCGACUUCAGCCAGGUCACGAUCUCGCGGUCCGUGAGUUCGAGCCCCGCGUCAGGCUCUGGGCUGAUGGCUCGGAGCCUGGAGCCUGUUUCUGAUUCUGUGUCUCCCUCUCUCUCUGCCCCUCGCCCGUUCAUGCUCUGUCUCUCUCUGUCCCAAAAAUAAAUAAACGUUGAAAAAAAAAAUUUAAAAAAAAAUGACUUUCUAGAGACUCAGAUCGGGUUCGUAUUAAAGAGGACAGGGAUGAGUAUAUUCAGACAACACAAGCCCAGAAAACGUUUGGGGUAGUACAAACUGGCUUAUUGAUGAGUGACCGGGAAUUAGACUAUAGGAUCGGAACCAUAAUUAACAUCUGGAGAAGUAUAAAACCAUAAACCAUUUUAGACCAAGGUAGAUUUGUUUUGUUCUCUUCUGUUUUUCCUUCUUUCCUAUUUCUGUCAUGCCAGUUGGAACACUUCCCCCCCCCACCUUUACUCUUGAGACCCUCAUGAAUGAAAUGAAAACAAAUAUUAAAAGACUAUAGAGGAACAACACAAGUGGCUUUGGAAAUGGACCAACCUCAAGUGGUUGUAUUCAUUGGCUUGCUGGUCAAUACCUCCGUCAGCUGGUGCAUGUAGGAAGCUAAGGAAUGCUUUCUUGUCGACUUGGGAGAUCAAAGUUUUGGAUCUUGAAAAGACAAGACGUUUGGAGCGGGGGAUGGUGCGACCCAUUUAAAAAUGGCCAAUACAUUGUAGGGCUGCCUUCGGCCACCCAAGAGGAGAAAUCGAGUUGGUGUUCCGCCAACGAUUCGUGGAGCUGAAGGGAUACAUCAUGGUCAGCUGACCACGGAGGCUCCCGGGGUGGGGUGGGGGGGGCACAACGUCGCCACGGGGCACUUUGCUACAGUGCCCCGGGGGUCUUUACCGAUCCUGAGAGCCAGCCACCUCAUCCACCCCAGAGCGGUCCAGUAGCUAGAUGGCUCUUGAAUAUCACAAGCUGGCUUGAGCAAUUCGGUUUUUUUCCUCUUUAGUAGAAAGUCUUUUGCCUUGGGAGGUGAGCCCACAGGGAGGGGUUACUUAGCUCGAGCCUCAAAAUGCACACACUGCAUCUUUAAGAAAUAGUUUACUUGUGAAUCAGUAAACGUACUAGACAAAGCGGCCAUUACUUAUGCAUUCCUGCAGACCCUGCAAGGUGAAAAUAAUAGAAUAAACAUCAUAUACUUCAUUAUGAUAUCGGUUUACACUUCCAGGACACACAAAAAGAGGCCAUUUCAUCAAGCUAAUUGCCUGAAAGUAAAAGAGAGAGAACUUUAGCUAUUAGUCUAUUAUGGGGCUUUUUUCUUAAUCACAAAUAGGGGCCGUGUGUCCCUGGGGGGAUGUGUAUUCUAAUUUACAAUUGAACUACAGAUCAGAGCAAUCAAUCUUGGGUAGCACUUUUACAGUGUAAUUGCUACAACAAUAACAAAUACAAAAAAAAAAAAAAAAAGGAGAAGAAGAAGAAGGAGAAGAAGACGAAGAAGGCCUAGUUGAGCUUCAGCUUGAGGUGGAGAUAUUUCCAGGCACUAGCUCAGGGUGGGAGGGAGAAAAGAACCACAGCAAACAUGAAUAUGCAAUGAGGGCUCAUUAGCGGCCUAGUGUUGCCAUGACGAAUGGCAUUAUCCCCGGCCUGGUGCUGCCUAAACAUGAAUUUUAUAACGACCCAUUUAUCAUGACUUGUCAUGAGCUUCUGUACUGUACUUUCUUCCAGCUCACACACCUUUCCCUAUUAUGACGGUAAAAUCUUUCCCUUUCCUAUUAUUGUUUCCUUUUGUAUUGACUCCUGGCUCUCCGAAGCGAGCACUCGACUACAGCAACAUGCUAAUGGGUGAUUUGUGACUUCAAAAAGGCGAAGAAACAAAAACUCGAUCGGUCAUCCCCCCGCCCGCCCAGUGGUCAUAUAAUUGAGCACAAAGUUAGACUAAACUUUUCAAGACAUUUCUUUAUAUGGGAGCUUUCGUUUUACCGGAGCAUUCUGACACCGCAGAUACAUUACGAAUUUUAAAUGAACCGCAUCGCCUUCCUUUCAUUAGUUUCAUUCCCAUUUGUUUGUUUGUUUUGUUUUGUUUUAUCCUGUGGAAACCUUUCGAUAUCUUAAAAGUAGAAUUCAAAAUUGGAGGUAUUUUCCGAAGAUCUCGGAGCUAUGACAAAAAGGUGUAAGAUUGAAAUGCUGGAAAGGUGUUUUGGUGCUUAGCAUUUUACAGGGGUGUGAGCUGAUUUCUCACUUAGACACGCUUUUACAUUGUGGGGAGGAAGGUUGGCGUGUUUUUCCAUGACAACUUUCCAGGACAUACGUUUUAUUAAUAGUAAAAGACAAAACAAAACAUGGAAGCAAUGUUCCUUGAUAGAAACCGUGAGGUCUGUCUGAAUAUUCGGCAGGAUGCGAAACUGCCAUAUGCAAAGGCUGGAGUCUUUGCCAUUGGCCAAGAGGGUGUGUGAGCUGCCUCAAAGUUAAGGCCAACAGUUCGUCAAGGUUAUGGUUCCCGAUUGGCAGAAGUGCCCUAAUUGUAAUACAGACCCAGCCAGUGGGAUCUAUGAAUAAUCUAUUUAGUGACCAUAAAGAGAGUAGUACUAAAACGAUUUCUCAGUUCAACCAGGUGAAGUUCAGGAAGGACACAGGAGCGCAGGGGAGGAGAAUCUGGCGUUGUUUUGCACACCCAGGGGUUAUGGUCAUUCCUGUAUCCAAUUUGUAAACAGUAAAUUGUUGGCCAGAUCUUUUUUUUUUUUAAUUAAUUUAUUUAUUUGAGAGCGAGAGAGAGAGAGCUCUAGCACGCGCACGCACACAAGUGGGGGAGGGGCAGAGAGGAGAGUCCAAAUCCCCAACAGGUUCCAUGCCAUCAGUGCAGAGCCCAAUGAGGGGCUCGAGCUCAAGAACUGUGAGAUCUGACCUGAGCUGAGAUCAAGAGGUGGAUGUUUAACCGACUGAGCCACCCAAGCGCCCCUAGCUGGCCAGAUCUUUUUUGAGUGUGGCUGUCUCUCUUGUGCCCCUGGAUUCCACAUUAACAGUCACGAUACUUUUAUGUAAUAAUAUUUAAACAAUAAUAUGUAAACUUCAUGGUAAAAUAUUUUAUUUAAAAAAAUUUUUUUCAUGUUUUAUUUAUUUUUGAGACAGAGAGAGACAGAGUAUGAACGGGGGAGGGUCAGAAAGAGAGGGAGACACAGAAUCCGAAACAGGCUCCAGGCUCUGAGCCGUCAGCACAGAGCCCGACGCGGGGCUCGAACCCACGGACCGUGAGAUCGUGACCUGAGCCAAAGCCGGACGCUUAACCGACUGAGCCACCCGGGUGCCCUGGUAAAAUAUUUUAAAUGUUGAUGAUCAUGUGCAUUUGCAGUUGUGGUUCCAGAGUUCUUUCAUGAGAUCCUCAGCUUUAUUGGGGGCAGGGUUAUUAUUUCCGUUUUAAAGAGGUAAAAAUCGAGGCUCAGAGCUUAAGUGACAAACUCAGGGUCACACAGAACACGAAGGUGCUGAGGCUCACCAAGGCUUUACCUUGCUAGUGCUUCUCUAACCCAAAGUCACCAGAGCAGAAAUCGUUCCCAAUGUGUCAUCUCUUAUGGGACCUGGCAGCAAGGGAGUGAGUUUGGGGAAGGAGCCCGUUGAAAAGAUGGCCGCCAUUUGCACUUGAGAGCUGGUUAUUCCCAACGACUUACCAGAAUCGAAGUUAGCACGCACAUGUCAAUUAAAAUUCCAUCCAUUUAAGCUGUAUUAUUUUUCAUCAUUAAAAAAUGCAGAUAGGAAACGUUCUUCAACCUAGAGACUUGGGCACCGUUCUGGCUGGUGUUCCUGUAUUUUGAGUCCGUUGAGGACUCAGUAUUUUCUGAAGAAAAUAUCUUUGUGUUUUCUCCUAUGAAUGAAUUAAACAGGACUGUUAGACAUGAUUUGGUGGGGAAGGGCCUCAAAUAUUGGCGAACGAUAUUAAAGAACGUUGUGAUUAUGACUGAGCAGAUUAAGACCGUGUCUAUACGACAGCAAACAUCUGGAGCUUUAAAAACAUCUGGGUUUUUGACUCUUAUUUAUCUGGUGGUUGGCAUCAUGGACAGAAAGGGGGAAAAAGAAUUUAAUGCUCUUACUGCUGAAUUAGACACAAUUUUUAUAUUUAGUUAAUCUGCAAAUAUUAACUAAUUAUUCUAUUUAACAUAACAUUUAAUGGAGAAAAUUUUUCCACCAGGCCAGUAAAUACCGAGAGAAAGAUGUAAUUAGGUGAUUUAAGAAAAAA
rnacentral:lncRNA from 1 species